rnacentral:misc_RNA from 1 species
GGAAGUAAAAGUCGUAGCAAGGUCUCCGUUGGUGAACCAGCGGAGGGAUCAUUACAGAGUGACCACUGUGUCGUGGCUCUGCCAACCCCGCGAACCCUAUACCUUCACGUUGCCUCGGCGGGCCUCCCGCCGCAGGCCCCUGUGCAAAACGCUCUGAAAAGCUCCGCGCUCCUUCUGAACUAGAAACUUUAAACGAGUAAAAACUUUUGGCAACGGAUCUCUUGGCUCUG